AAGUUGAAAUUAAAAACAAAGACUUCUUUCCCUAUUGAAUGGUUCUGGCACCCUUGUCAAAAACCAUUUGAUCAUGUAUAUAGGAGUUUAUUUCUGGGCUCUAUUCUGUUCCAUUGAUCCAUAUGUCUGUCUGUAUGCCAGCACCGCAGUUUUGAUUACUAUAGCUUUUUAUUAAGUUUUGAAAUCAGAAAGUAUGUGACCUUGAACUUUGUUCUUCUUUUUGAAGACUGUUUUGGUCAUUCAGUGUCCUUCUCAAAGGACAUUAUAUAUGAUUUUUAGGAUAGAUUUUUCUGUUUCUGCAAGGAAACAUUAUUGGGAUUUCGAUAGGGAUAGCAUUGAAUCCAUAGAUUGCUCUGAGUAGUAUUGACAUCUUAAUAGUAAGUGUUCCAGUCUGUAAACGAGAUAUCUUUCCAUUUAUUUAUGGUUUCAAUUUGUCUCAGCAACAUUUGCAGUUUUUAAUUGUAUAAUUCUUUCAUCUCUUUGAUUAAAGGUUAUUCCUAAGUAUUUCAUUCUUUUGGAUGCUAUUAUAAAUAGAAGUUGUUUUCUUAAUUUUAUUUUCAGGUUGUUCAUUGUGAGUCUAUAGGAACACCACUGAUUUUUACGUGUUGACUUUGUAUCCUGCAACUUUGCUGAAAGUUUUCAUUUCUUAAUUGUGGUUUAUGAAGCCCUAGCUGAGGUAGACAUUAGAAACUC